AGGAAAUGUCUCCUCCAGCCGAACCAGAUGUUGAGUAAUGCAGUUCUAUUUCCUAAUAUCCAAUUCUUAAUAAACAGAAAGAUUCAGCUGGGAAUUGAAAUCGUGCGUCAUUGAUACGAAUACUUUGCUGCGACAGAAUCGUGUGCUGUAUGCAGUCCGCAGUUGUCUGGCGAGGUUUUGAGGCAAGUUGUAAAAUGUCAGGCCAUUUAGCGGACUUGAGUAAAUUUAAUGCAUCACUUCGGUACCUCUGUAAUUAUUUGUAGCAAUUUGCAAUAUGCGCUGCUGGCUGUCUUUAAACAAUUCUAACGUAAUUUUAGUCAUAAAACAAAACGUUUAUAAAAUGAUGAGAUGCAUUAAGACUUUUACUGCCUUAUCCUACUUGUUAUGGAUGGAAAGAGAUUGAAAAUCGCUGCCCUAACCCAGUUUUUCUCAAAGUAGG